rnacentral:rRNA from 1 species
AUUGAACGCUGGCGGCGUGCUUAACACAUGCAAGUCGAGCGGUAACAGGCGUAGCAAUACGUGCUGACGAGCGGCGAACGGGUGCGUAAUACAUGGGAAUCUGCCUAGUAGUGGGGAAUAACCCGGCGAAAGCCGGGCUAAUGCCGCAUACGAUCCACGGAUGAAAGCGGGGGACCUUCGGGCCUCGCGCUAUUAGAUGAGCCCAUGCCGGAUUAGCUAGUUGGNGAGGUAACGGCUCACCAAGGCGACGAUCCGUAGCUGGUCUGAGAGGACGGCCAGCCACACUGGGACUGAGACACGGCCCAGACUCCUACGGGAGGCAGCAGUGGGGAAUAUUGGACAAUGGGGGAAACCCUGAUCCAGCGACGCCGCGUGUGUGAAGAAGGCCU